rnacentral:rRNA from 1 species
UACGUAGGGCGCAAGCGUUGUCCGGAAUUAUUGGGCGUAAAGAGCUCGUAGGCGGCCUGUUACGUCUGCUGUGAAAUCCCGGGGCUUAACCCCGGGCGUGCAGUGGAUACGGGCAGGCUGGAGGCAGGCAGGGGAGAACGGAAUUCCCGGUGUAGCGGUGAAAUGCGCAGAUAUCGGGAGGAACACCGGUGGCGAAGGCGGGUCUCUGGGCCGUAACUGACGCUGAGGAGCGAAAGCAUGGGUAGCGAACAGG